UACGUAGGGUGCAAGCGUUAAUCGGAAUUGCUGGGCGUAAAGCGUGCGCAGGCGGUUGUGCAAGUCAGGGGUGAAAUCCCCGGGCUUAACCUGGGAAUGGCAUUUGUGACUGCACGGCUAGAGUGUGUCAGAGGGGGGUAGAAUUCCACGUGUAGCAGUGAAAUGCGUAGAUAUGUGGAGGAAUACCGAUGGCGAAGGCAGCCCCCUGGGAUAACACUGACGCUCAUGCACGAAAGCGUGGGGAGCAAACAGG
rnacentral:rRNA from 1 species